AUUGCCAUGCAGUUAUUCCACUUCUUUUUUUCUUAUUUGCAGAAAACUACGGCAAUCAUGAAUUUAAUCAUAUAUUUACAUUUGUAAAAGUCUGAAAUGGUCUUGUAGACAAUUUGUAGAAUUCUGUAUCUUUUCAAGUGUCCGUGUUGAUAGUUGGUCUUCUGGAGGAGGAAACAGAGAGCUUUCAUAGCCCCAACCACUCAGUUUGGAAGCUUCUUCACACUCUGAGACUUAGAACUCACGAAGAGAAACAGAGGGAAAAUUAGAAGUUUGGACCUUGGGGUGUCAGCUUGACUACUUCCUUGUAUUCUCACCUGGGUCACAAGGCCAACACAGUUCUCACUGUGCCAAAAUCAAGAUGUGAGCAACCUCUAGGGGAAAAUUCAUUUCCUGCUCUUUCCGGCCUCUAAAGCUGCCUGCGUUCUUUGGUUGGUGCUUUUUCCUCCCACUUCGAAACCAGCAACAUGGUAUCUGACAGUGCAUCUGUUGUCACAUCUCUGCCUCUGACUCUCCUCUUCUUCCACUUUUAAGAGCCUUUGUGAUGACAUUAGAGCCACCCACAUAGUCUAGGAAAAUCUCCUUAAUUUAAGCAGCUGAUUAACAGCCUUAAUUUUACUGCAACUUCAGUUCCCCCUUUGUCAUGUAACCUAAUUCACAGGUUUGGGCGCAUUAGGACAUCCAAUGGGAGAAUAUUUUUCAGAUGCCACUAUUUUGCCCACUGCAGCGACAGUAGGUGAGAAUUACUUAAGUAAGUGUGAUAAUAUAAAGUCAGUUGAUAAAUCCACUUAGGAAAACUUGAAUUAAAGUUUUAACUUCACUUCCAGAUUAUGGGAUGAUUUAAUAGCUCAUUUUAAAUAGCAUGCAGACAUGCUUUUAAUAAUAUUCCCUAGAAAUUUACUUAAAAAAUUUUGAGACUAUAAUUGAUUUUUAAGUUUCUUUUUCUGUCUCACAAAUAAGCAUAUAUAAAGAUAACAAUGUUUAAUAACAGAAAAUCUCCUGUUCUGCCCUUCUCCCUUUAGCUUCUUCCAAUGUAUAUAGACUCUGAUGAAGAAAAACAAUAGGUUUAUGGAAGGAAAGAACAUUUCCUUCAACAAGCAAACAAAGAAAAAUGGGAUAGAGAAAAGCUGCCCAUGAACUGCAAGAAAUCAGAGUGGAACUGGAAUAAACCCAGAAAAAUGUGGAACUUACACAUGGUCAUCCCAAUGCAGCAGUGUCCCCACAGAAGAUGAGUUCCUGGGAUUUGGACAAGAGAGAAUAGACAAGCUUGGAAAUGUCAUCCUUUCUCAUGACUUUAGAGUAACCAAAAUGAUUUUUAACAGCAUUAAUUUUUAGCCUUUAAGUAAAUAUCUUUCUGAUAUUUUAUUUCGUAAUGCAGAACAGUGUAUUAAAAAAAUUGAAACCACCACAUUGCUUGACUCCAUAAGCAAUACAUUUGAAAGCAUUUAUUUCAUGGCUACCCGAAUAUAUAUAUGCUGUUUUCUUUUACAGAUCUACUUUUUUUUCUCUCAAAGGACUUUUGAAAAAUCACUUCACAAUGUCACGUUGAGAGGUAGGUUCCGGUUGUUAGGUAAAGCAUAUUAUCUGGAUAAGUAACUAAAUUCAUACUGUACCACAGCUUGAGAAUCUUCAAAACUAUAUCUUUGAAUGUGAAAAUCUAUUCUCUCUGAUUUUUGUAGAAAACAGUCAGAUGUGUAUCUUUUAAUUUAGAGUUCUACCAAAUCACUGGUUAUAUUAAUAACUAAGACACACACACACACACACACACACACACAGAUACUCACACACAUGUUUUCUUAGGCUGGAACAUGUUGCCUAAGACUAGAGUUUUUAUUUUUCAUUCUUUCCAGCAUCUGGUAGCUUAGAAUCAUACACACAGCAAGUAUAUAAAACACACUCAAUGAAGACUCAACCAUAAUGUCCCACUAGGUUCACAAUCCAGCAUCUAAAUUUAUUUUUUAGGUAAAAUAAAAUGCUUCCUAAACCUAACUUUACAUGAGAGACAUUUUCUUUUCACUCUUUUUAUUUAGAAAAAAAUUUGAUAACAUUUAUAUGUAAGAAGCAUAUAUCUUAAACAGACCUUCUUUUGAUUAAAAGGGAAACAAUAACUCCUUUUAUCUUAAUACGAUGACUUGUCUGCAUUAGGUCUAAGAAAGAAAAAACAAACAAACACACAAUUAUGUUUAUUUCCAGUGGGACUGGACAAAAUCAGAAUGAUGGAGCAUCUAAGCCAAAAACAGUAAACUUCUUAAUCAAGAUUAUCCCUUAAGACUACAGAAAGACUGAGAGGACAUUUCAUUUGUAUUCUCUUCUUCCCACAUCCCCGCACCAUGAUUGGUAUUAUAACUGAUCUUCAAUUACUAAUGUUAUUAUUGAUUUUCAGUGAUGAAACUUAAUCAUUAGUUGUCUUACAAAUUGCCAUUAGUUCCCUUGCUAUAUUUAAUUUUUAAAAUUCUUUUCAGUAUAAUGAAUAUUUACUUUAUUCUUCCUAUCACAGCCUUUUCAGAUUUACUUCUUUGAAAUAUUCUCAUCUGUAAGUAGCAUCCUAGUUAUAACAUUAACUGUUAUGAAUGUUUUCUAUCUUGGAACUGUACAUAUUUAUUUCUGUU